UAUAUAGAAUUCGUCCGUAAAAACAUAUAAGAAAGCAAAAAAGAAAAUUAAAAAAUAGAACCAAUUAAAUAGAAAUAAUGAGUUCCAAUACAAAUUCAAUGGAGUACAUUAUAUAAUGUAAUUUAGAUGGAUAUUUUAUCGAGUUAAAAUAUUAUAUUUCCAAUUAUGUGAUUUUUAUAUCUGACCUAUUUUGAAAUCGAAAUACCUAACAUAAUUAAUAGAUAUUUCUUCUGACAAUGAAUCGAUAGUAUAUAUUUCUAUUCCUUUUUGACAAUAAUAUAUAACUAUGUAAAUCCUGGAUGUGAAAAUAUGCGCAAUUCGUCCGUGGAAGUUAUAAAAAAACAAAAAGAAUAUGCUAGGUUUAUGCAAUAAAAUAAGAACCGAUGAGAUAGAAAUACUUAGUUUGAAUUUACUAUUUCGAUAGUAUAGAUGUGAUUUUCUAUUUCCAGUUUUGAGCCAGUGAUUGAUGAAAUUUCCUGAAAACUUGUUUACAGUUGCGCUGCCUUGUGUUGCUGCUGUGUGUUGGACGCAUGUUUCUGAGAAGUGUGACUCAUUGUCUAGUUGCCCUCUAUGAAAAGGCAGCACAAAAAUUGUUUAAUCCGAUUUUUUUUUUUUUAUUUACAUAUCAGUGAUUUGUUUCCUGGAAUAAGCACUUUCUGACUUUCUUCUCUUGUUGAUUUUAUUUUAUUUUUAUUUUUAUUUUUUGGUUGUCGUCAUAAUGUCUAAAAUCUAGUAACAUUGCCUUUUAUUUUCAUUUAAUGUAAAUGGUGCAAGCAUACUUUGCUUGGUUCAGUUCUCAUGUAAAUUUACGUUCCGUGAUAAUUUUGUUUUUCUUUUGUGAAUACUAGUAUGUGUGAACGUGGGGUUAGCAAUGUUAAAAAAUGGAUAUGAGUCAACUUUGAAUUAUAUUUUUGUGGGACCCAAACUCCAAAUUUAAACGGAUCGAACA
rnacentral:lncRNA from 1 species